rnacentral:rRNA from 1 species
GACGAACGCUGGCGGCGUGCCUAACACAUGCAAGUCGAACGGAGAUUUCAGCAAUGGAAUCUUAGUGGCGAACGGGUGAGUAACGCGUAGACAACCUACCUUCUUGAUGGGGACAACACUGCGAAAGUGGUGCUAAUACCGAAUGUUGUACUUUGAUUGCAUAAUCGAAGUACUAAAGAUGGCCUCUAUUUAUAAGCUAUCGCAAGAAGAUGGGUCUGCGUCUGAUUAGCUAGUUGGUGAGGUAAUGGCUCACCAAGGCGACGAUCAGUAGCCGGUCUGAGAGGAUGAACGGCCACACUGGGACUGAGACACGGCCCAGACUCCUACGGGUGGCUG